CGGAAAUGGAUCAUUAGUGAGGAUGAUGCAGUUUCUCCGAAGACUGUUCCAGAAGCCCUCCCCUUGGGUCAUGUGAGCUUUGGAGUUCCCCAGUGCUGGACACGGGAUUUGGCUGGGGGGUCUGGCCCCCAAGUGAGUGCAGCCUCCGUGUGUGCCCACAUGAGCUUGCUUGUGUCAUGGGUCUGAGGCACCCCGUUAUCUGUGUGUGGUGUCCGAGGCUGUAUCUGUGUGCCCCAGCCAGACACAUCUUGUGUGUCCAUAAGCUCCCGGGACGUGUUUGUCUGCCUGUGUCUGGGUGUGUCUGCGCUGUUUCCUGUGUGUAGCCAAGCGUGCCAGCCUGGGUCACAUGUCUGCUGUGUGCCUGGGAGUCCUUUGUCCCUGUAGCUGUGCACACGGAGCCUUGCAAGGCCCGCGUGGCAUGUCAGUGACAUUUGCCUGGGUUCUAAAGUGGGACUGUGUGGGAUAUUGAUUUGUGUCCCUGCGUUGUGGCCUGAGUCGUGUUGUGGGUCUGUGUUGUGUCUCACGUGAGUUGUGGGUCUGUGUUGUGUCUCACGUGAGUUGUGUGUUUGACAACAUCCGGGUUUGAGUCCCAGGGUCACCUCCCUCCCCCAAACACCAGGGUCUCCCUUUUCCAGGAAGUCCUGCCCACACCUUCCCCUCCUCCCCACCCCCCACUCCCACAGGAGGAACCCAGGCGGGGGCAGCUGGUGACAUACCACGUGACCACUGAUUUUUGACCCUCUCACAUCGUCAGCAGCUGCCUGCGGGCCUCCCAGUGCCAGCUGCCCCUGAGAAUAGGCAGGUGGGCGCUGGGGCAGUGGGGCCCCCACCGGUGCCCUGUCUGACCUGCCCCUCACCUCCCUGCCUUCCUCCUCCCGUGACUCUCCCCUGCACACUCACGACGGGCCGAUGCGGGGGGGGGGGGGGCCCUCUUUCAACGCGGAGGUCACCGGCUCAGCGAGAUUUGUAAUAACUUCGGAAGUCUUUGCUUGGUGGAAGCAUUUAACAAGAUUAAAGAAUCAGCUAUAUCACUUUUAUAAAUGCCAUGUACAACGUUAAGUGAUUUCAUCCCACUACAUUUCUCAGUGGAUCCAAGUGGGUACCCAGUGGCCUCUUUGGCGAGCGAUGGUCCACUUACCCAGGUUCAGAGCUACACCUCCAGCGGCUCAAGCUCCUCCACCAAUUCAUGGACACCACCUCCUGAACUUCACCCUCCUCCACAUCGGGACCUCCGCCUGUGCUCCUCCUCCCCUGGAGCCUGGAGACGCCACCUGGAGCUGGUUGGCCGCCAGUGUGGUCUCCUGCAGGCACGGAGCCCCUGGCGACAACCAUGAACUGACGAAGGUCGGAGAGCUCUGAAGCAGAGGAAAAAGGUAGCUCUACAAUAAUUAUUGUAUAUGGAUGUGAUGGGCAGCUGAUUCAUUAUUCUUUCUGGAGGCUGGGAAGUCCAAGUUUAAGAUGCUGGAAGAUCUGGUGUCUGGUAAAGCCCUGACUCCUGGCUUGCAGAUGGCUGUGAUCUCAUUGUAUCCUCACAUGGUAGAGUGCAGAGGGAAGAAACUAACUAACUCUCUUGUGUCUCUUCUUAUAAACCCAUUCAUGAGAUUUCUACCCGUAUGACCUAAUCACUUCCCAAAGGUUCCACCUCCUAAUACCAUCACAGUGCAGGGCAGGAAUUCAACAUGUGAGUUUUGGAGGACACAAACAGUCAGUCCCAUGACACUCUCUAACAGUGUUCUGUACAAAAUCCCAGAUAUUCUUAGACAUUUGUCUUCUGUUUUGGUUU